rnacentral:rRNA from 1 species
AGAUUGAACGCUAGCGGGAUGCUUUACACAUGCAAGUCGAACGGCAGCGCGGACUUCGGUCUGGCGGCGAGUGGCGAACGGGUGAGUAAUAUAUCGGAACGUGCCCAGUAGCGGGGGAUAACUACGCGAAAGCGUGGCUAAUACCGCAUACGCCCUACGGGGGAAAGGGGGGAUUCUUCGGAACCUCUCACUAUUGGAGCGGCCGAUAUCAGAUUAGCUAGUUGGUGAGGUAAAGGCUCACCAAGGCGACGAUCUGUAGCUGGUUUGAGAGGAUGAUCAGCCACACUGGAACUGAGACACGGUCCAGACUCCUACGGGAGGCAGCAGUGGGGAAUAUUGGACAAUGGGCGCAAGCCUGAUCCAGCCAUACCGCGUGGGUGAGAAGGCCUUCGGUGUAAAGCCCUUUGUUAGGUAAGAAAGCAUUCGGUUAAUACCGGUGUUCUGACGUACCAAAGAAUAAGACACCGCUAACUUCGUACGCCAGCAGCGCGGUA